rnacentral:lncRNA from 1 species
GCUCACUUUUCACCCUAGAACUGCUGAGGCUCAAAUAUGCCAAUGUUAGCUGUGUCUGGGAGGGGCCUCUGACACGGGAAAAAUUAGCAGGCAUUCCGAAUCACCAGAGGCUCUUCUGUUCCACCCUUUCCUCCUGUUUUUCUUUUCCCUGGACUCAACUUUGCCCUUCCAGACCCACUGACCAGUUUCCCAGGCCCUCUGGAUCCCCACUAAGGUCACCUUUUAAGGGAGGAGAUCUGCCUUUCUUCUAGAUCGCCAAAACUCUUCCAAAGGGGUCUGGAGCCACCAGGGAGACCAAGAGCCUUUCUUUUUGUUGUGUUUCUUUUUGGCACGCCACGGGGCAUGUGGGAUCUUAGUUCCGCCCCAACCAGGGACCUAACCCGUGUCCCCUGCAGUGGAAGCAGAGUCUUAACCACUGGGCCGCCAGGGAAGUCCCCCAAGAGCCUCUCUUGAAUCUCAGUUGCUACAUGUUUAGUAUUCACAGCGUGUCUCUUAAAAAUGUCCUGAGAUCAUUCAUCAGGCACUGUGCUGUGUGCCUGGCUACUCUCCUUUAGGGUGUGUGUGUGUGUGUGUGUGUGUGUGUGUUGUGCAGGACCCUCCCUCCAUCUGCUGGUGAACACAAACACGCACACACACCUUAACCUCCUUCUCUUCUCACCAAACCGACUGCAUGCUCAAAGUGGACCUCUGCCAGCCGGCGGAUCGCGCCCUUCCUGUGGUGGGCUCUCCAGGCUGGGCCUGGGCUCGAAACAGCUCGCACUCCAGUGCUGGGGAGAGGCGCUGCGAGCUGGAGCCGGAGCCGAAACUCAAGUUGUGACCCGAGCCGGCAGCUGUGCCUUUAAGCCGCGUUCCCAUUCGGGGAAACCGACGCCAGCGCUCGAGGGUCGGGAGGCGCUGGAGAGGCCCCUCGUUCCGUACUCCCCUCUUUCCUCCCCCUCCCCUCCCCUCCCCCGCCCCCUCUUCCCUCCCCUCUCGGCCGUCCGGCCGCCUCGCCGCCAUCCGUCACCUCGCCGCCGCCUGCCGCACUCCCGGAGCGAGCGAGACGAGCGAGCCACGGCGAUGGUGCCGCCCGCGGCGCAGCCAUGGAGCCCGCCCGAGGAGCCCGCGCGCGCCGCUGCCAGCCUGCCCGCAGCCCGCCGCCUGCGCGCCAGCUCCCCGCGUCCCGGGCCAGCUGCUGCCGCUCCGCCAACCUUCACCCGCCCCACCGCCCGGCGCCACUGAGCCCCACGCCCGUGCCGGGCUCGGGAACACGGGCGCCCUAGUCCCGCCGCCGUCGCCGCCGCCACCGCCGCCGCGCCGCGGAAGAGCAGGAGGAGGAAGAGGAGGCGGAGGAGGAAGGUAAGAGGCGCGCUGCUUCCAGGGGGGCGCGCCCGCAGUCUCAGACCGGCUGGGGGUGAGUCGCGGCGGGAGCG